AGCCAGCGCGGCCGUAGGCCGCGCGCGGAGCCCCAUAGAUAUAGAAAUGGUCUAUAACUAGGCGACUCAGUUUUUGUGGUCAAUGACGUCAUUGUCACAAGCUGCCAUCCAUCCAGCCAGCCGCGAUCUGCCUCGGCACAGGCCUCUAGAGCGCGCAAAACAAUAUGGCGGAUGAGUAUUUCUGUCCCUCUCAAAAACACACGAAAACGACUGCAGAAAAGCCAAGAAUUGUCGAAUAAGAAGAGCUUGAAAACAAUCAUUCGUGGGAAUGCUAACCACGGAUAUGAACUUGUCUAAUUACGUGCAAAAGACUGUGUAAAAGCAUGGUUAAAAGUUUUGAAGAAUCAGUCUUGUGCUCGAGUCAAGGUCAGCUGAAAUUUCAGAGUAAGCCACAAGAUAAAGAAAGAAAAAACAAGCUAAUUUUAUAGACACCUUCUCCGAAAAGUGCUCCUAUGUUUUGUUCUUGCACUGGCAGACGGAGGUUAAUCUCAGCCAGAGAUUCUGAAAUCAAGCUGAGACACAAGCUGCUGGCUAAGAGGCAUUACCCAGGGCAGGAUGUACAUAUAAGGCAUUGGUAUUUAAUGUAGGUCACCAAAAAUAAACACAUAUAAAGUAACAAAAAGUAAGAUUAUAUUUUAAUGGAAAAAUGGUUCUAAAAAAUGAACCAGAGUUAUAAA